rnacentral:hammerhead_ribozyme from 1 species
AUCCAUCUGACGAGCCCAUAAUAGAACGAGACGCGAGUCCUGGAU